rnacentral:misc_RNA from 1 species
GGAAAAGUGGUCAACCAAUAUUUGGACCAACAAGUGCCAUGAAACUUUUGGUCUUAAGAGCUGUCAGUGGAUGCAUCUCCUUGCUGAGUUACAUCUACAGCAUCCAGCGGCUACCUGUGUCUCAGGCUAUCAUAUUGAACUUUACUGCGCCAAUUAUGGCUUCAACUGUGGCUAGAGUCACAUUGCAUGAGAAACUAAAAAUUGCAGAAAUUGGAGGUUUAGCUAGCAGUUUCUUUGGUGUGCUGUUUAUUUUUCAACCAAUGGUCAGAACACAAGGAGUUUUCCCAAGUUCAGUAGAAGUGAGUGAAUCUCACAUUUUAGCUGUUCUGAUUGGCUUAUUUUCAUCUGUUGCUAGUGGAGUCACCUACUGCCUUACGAGAGCAGGAGCCAAGGCAGCAGAUCAACCUCUGCUUCCUGUGCUUUCGUUUGCUCUGCUUGCUAGUCCUGCUGCUGCAAUAUCUACUUUUGCCUUUGAAAACUUUGUACUCCCUAGUUUCUAUUCUUUCCUUCUGAUGGUUGUACUUGGUGUACUAGCUUUCUUUGCAGAGAUAACUUUAGCACGUGGACUUCAGCUUGAGAAAACUAAUAGAGUUGCCAAUAUCCAGUUUAUUGAGGUUGCACUAUCACAAUUUCUUGGAAUGGGCUCAUCAAGAAUCAUUCCAUCUUUUGGCAGAUUAGUUGGAUGUAUAAUUAUCUUGAUUUCAGCAUGUUGUACCAUGUAUAUUGGACCUGAGAAAGAGAUUGAAUGACAAAGUUGGC